AGGAUGUAAAGGACUUUGUGGAAAGGAAUAAGUUAUUGACUGUGCAGCAACCAAGAACUUUUCCCAAGGAGAAAAGGAUCGUGUUCAAAUCUCCUGAUCUGAGAGGGAUUCUACAAUCACAUCAAGCUCCUGGGAUACCGGCUCCAAGCAACAGUCCAAAUGUUGUCCUUUCUGCACCUAGCAGACCAACAGCAGUAACAAACUAUCCAUCUGAGUAUUCUCUUGGAGGCGCCACAGCCACAAAUCCUGUCACAACCUCUGUUAUACCAACUGGAUCUUGGAUUAGAUGAUGCAAGAUACUUCAAAACCCCCUUAUCUUCAGUGUUCCAAACUAUCAACCUCAGCAUGGCUCCUGGGUCAUAGGGCUGCAGGACGAGGUUAAGUACCAUGUUUCUGGGUGUCUGACAACUCUAAUUCCUGGACUGUGGCCCUUUCAUUACCUGCUCCUCCAAGUCGUGUGAGGGUUUUUCCAGACUGUGAGGCUCAUACUUUCUCAUUCUACAGUAUGACAGACCAUAAUUUUCUCAUCUAUAAAUUCUCUUUGUGUUCAUUUCCUGGAAAUGUUGUUCCAUUUUUCAGUCUUGGGGGAUAUUCAGAGCCUGUGACAUUUUGUGGGCCAAACGUAUGACUUUUCUUAAACCCUCUCCCUCUUCCCAGCCAGGCCUCUGGCCAAGGCCUGCAUCUCCUGCCUCUGAGUGCCCUGCUCCAUUUUAGUCUCUCUGUCUACUGUCUCCUGGUCUUCCAUUUGGACGUCCUUCACUCAUCCUGGGAUCUACACAUUCUCUGGUGCUGUUUUCUUCUUAAUAUCACAUUUGCUCAGGAGAGAAACUUUAUCACUUCUCAGACUCCCAGGAAAUCACUUCUUUAAAACUUAAAGAGAACAAAACCAAAAAAAAAAAAAAAAAACAAAAAAAAAAAAAAAAAAAAAAACAGGAUAAAGCCAGUCAAACAAACCAAUGAGAACAAUACAGGACUUCAAAAGAAGAAAAUAGAAAAUCUAAAAUGGCUACUACAAUAUACCCAUUAUCUUCAAAACAAUGGGCCAUACUAUCAAACAUAAUAGAAUCUAACAAAAUAACACAGAAUAAAACCAAAGAAAACAAUGAAAAUGAUACUGAUAAAAGAAAAGUAAUAGCAAAUUAGCACAGGGAACCACCUUCUCUUUUUAGACAUUUGUUCCUCUUUAACCUUCACAGUAUCUGUUGUACAUUUUUGGUUCCUACAAAUUACUCCAGGGUUUUUAUCUCUAUUUAAUUUUAAAGGAAAUAAAGCAGAUCAAUAAAACAAAUGAAACAGUGAUAAGAUAAUAUGUGAUCUACAACAGAAAAUAUUGCAUAUUAUUGUCCUCUAAAUAGCUGCGAGGCUUCAUGGUUGCAGACUCAGAUAAUACAGUACCUCCAAAUCAGCUGGUUGCUGUCUGUGGGUCGGAGGGGCUGUUCUCCUCAAUCCCGCCUGGGCACUGAGGAACUCACAGGCAGGAGCUUUGCUUCUGUCUUGGGUCUCCCCAAUCCACCAACCGAGUCCUCUUAAGAAAGACUGCUACUGAGAUAACUUCUGGGUCCAAUCUUUACAGCCUUGUUCUCCACCACUGAGAAAAGGUGGAGGAAAGUUUUCACCUAACUUCCUGUACAUGGAAGAUUGUUUAUAGGGAUGUUCUCAGUAAAGAAUGAGUCUUUCGCAUUAUAACCAUGUUUCUUUUUCAUCCAGGAAUGAAAAACAGAAUCUCAUCAUAGAAAACAGGGUCGUAUAUCUUUUGUAAAUGGGGAAGAGACUAAGAGAUGCAGGCUGGAGCAAGGAGAAAAGAAGGGCACAUGAAAAAAUUAUAAUGCAUUAUGUACAUGUACCAUCUCCCCAUUAUGAAUUUAACAUUAUAUACUGCAAACAUGUACUAAUAAAAUAGAAAUUAACAAUAAAACCCAUCAAUGAUCUAGACUCCAGAAAAAAGCUGUGUUCACACUAUCCAUAUUCAAAUCCUAUUUCUGCAUAUCCUAGCAGUGUAACUUUGACUAAUAUGCUUGACUGUUUUGUGUGUUUUCUUGAAAGAGUUUUAUAUAAGCACUGUACCUGGUAAAUUGGAUCACUGUAAGACCAUAAACUGAGUAUUAAGCUCCUACUGAAGUAUCUCAAUAAAUACUUGCUCUAAUAAUAAUUGAAAAAUAAUACAAGUAAUUGCAGCAAUCAGGAGACUCAGUCAAGAAUCACUGUGAGUUUGAGGACAGACUGUGCUACAUAGUGAGCUCAAGGCCAGCCUGAAUGUACAGUGAGACACGGUCUCAAGAAAAAAAGAAAAAACAUGAGAAGUAACCCUGUUCCAUGAAGCAGGUUACCGACAGAGGAACUACGGUAGACUCUAGAGAAGCCUCAUGUUUUGGUCCCAUUAUCAACACUACUGCCGUUUUGCCACAUAAAUUUCUUCCUCACAAUUUUAGAGUGUUGUAUGUGUGUAUACUUCUGGUAUUAGCCACAUAUUGGUCCCUAUAAAAUACAUUAUGUUGAAAUCAGAUUACCAUUUGUAGAAAAUAAUAAGCAUGAAAUUCACUUCAUAUAGCAUUUUAAAAACCAAACAAACACAGAAUUUUUAGUGCUUGGCAUGCAAGCAAUAAGCCAACAUGGUGUCUAAAUUUUUGGCUCAUCCUCAUUUGACUAAAAUAGAUGAUUUUAAAGCAUUUGUAUCAGUUGACUUAUGGACACUUCUCCCCUCCCCCAUUGAAUUUUUAAAAAUAGAAUACAGGUUGGCUGGGGGUUUAGCUCAGCUGUACAAGUGCCUGUCUGGCAAUUGAGAGAUUGAGAGUUUGAUCCCUGGUACCAACAGGAAAAAAAAGAAAAAGAAAAAGUAAAAUACAGUUAAAGAUCACAGGUUUAGGGGCUAGGAAUAUAGCUCAGUGGCACAACACCUGCUUAGAGGUCUUAAGUUUGAUUCCCAGUACGAAAAAAAAAAAAAAAAGAAAAGAAAAAAAGGAUGACACAUUUUUUUAUUAGAUAGUUGUAUGUUUUUGUUGACUGUUUCUAAUUCCAUAGGUAUGUAGUAAUUUUUCAUAUUCCUGCAAAAUUCCUUUUAUUGGAAGCUCUUUUUUGUAUUUUUAAAUAAAAGUAUUCAUUAUUUUA